rnacentral:rRNA from 1 species
AGUGAACGCUGGCGGUAGGCCUAACACAUGCAAGUCGAACGGCAGCACAGUAAGAGCUUGCUCUUACGGGUGGCGAGUGGCGGACGGGUGAGGUAUACAUCGGAAUCUACUUUUUCGUGGGGGAUAACGUAGGGAAACUUACGCUAAUACCGCAUACGACCUACGGUUGAAAGCAUGGGAUCUUCGGACCUUGCGCGAUUGAAUGAGCCGAUGUCGGAUUAGCUAGUUGGCGGGGUAAAGGCCCACCAAGGCGACGAUCCGUAGCUGGUCUGAGAGGAUGAUCAGCCACACUGGAACUGAGACACGGACCAGACUACUACGGGAGGCAGCAGUGGGGAAUAUUGGACAAUGGGCGCAAGCCUGAUCCAGCCAUACCGCGUGGGUGAAGAAGGCCUUCGGGUUGUAAAGCCCUUUUGUUGGGAAAGAAAAGCAGCAGGUUAAUACCCCGCUGUUCUGACGGUACCCAAAGAAUAAGCACCGGCUAACUUCGUG